rnacentral:rRNA from 1 species
GUGGGGAAUAUUGGACAAUGGGCGAAAGCCUGAUCCAGCCAUGCCGCGUGCAGGAUGAAGGCCUUCGGGUUGUAAACUGCUUUUGUACGGAACGAAAAGACUCCUUCUAAUAAAGGGGGUCCAUGACGGUACCGUAAGAAUAAGCACCGGCUAACUACGUGCCAGCAGCCGCGGUAAUACGUAGGGUGCAAGCGUUAAUCGGAAUUACUGGGCGUAAAGCGUGCGCAGGCGGUUAGAUAAGACAGAUGUGAAAUCCCCGGGCUCAACCUGGGAACUGCAUUUGUGACUGUAGAGCUAGAGUACGGUAGAGGGGGAUGGAAUUCCGCGUGUAGCAGUGAAAUGCGUAGAUAUGCGGAGGAACACCGAUGGCGAAGGCAAUCCCCUGGACCUGUACUGACGCUCAUGCACGAAAGCGUGGGGAGCAAACAGGAUUAGAAACCCCUGUAGUCC